UUCCAUCGCGUCAAGUUUUGCCUUUUCUAGAGUGUAAGUUCUUCUGGGAGAAUCAUGGACUGCAGAUCUUUAACAUCAAUAUGCAGAUUUGUGGGGAAGCUGCAAUUCUCAUCGGUCACAAGAAUAGCAAUUCUGAGAAUGGUUCUGCCUGGAAGCUUGAAUUUUAUUUUUUGUUCCUGCCCAGGUGAAAUAGGAUCCCCUAUUGGGGGACCAUAGAUAGCCCCAAAUUGAUCAUGCAACGUUAUUGUCUGGCUAGUAUUGUUCUUCAAUGAAAAUAUUGCUUCCUUCCCAUGCGAGAUGCCCAUUAGAAUUUCAAACACUCAAGAAGAAGAUUAUAGAGAGAAACAAUAAGUCAUUUUCAAGCAAUCCCAUAGACACUCAGGACACUCACCAAAUUAACUUCUGCCCUUGUUUGCCCACUCCAUUUAUGUGUAGUGUUGAUGUUUU
rnacentral:lncRNA from 1 species